CCUACGGGAGGCUGCAGUGAGGAAUAUUGGUCAAUGGACGAGAGUCUGAACCAGCCAAGUAGCGUGAAGGAUGACUGCCCUAUGGGUUGUAAACUUCUUUUAUAUGGGAAUAAAACGUUCCACGUGUGGGAUUUUGUAUGUCCCAUAUGAAUAAGGAUCGGCUAACUCCGUGCCAGCAGCCGCGGUAAUACGGAGGAUCCGAGCGUUAUCCUGAUUUAUUGGGUUUAAAGGGGGCGUAGGUGGAUGGUUAAGUCAGUUGUGAAAGUUUGCGGCUCAACCGUAAAAUUGCAGUUGAAACUGGCAGUCUUGAGUACAGUAGAGGUGGGCGGAAUUCGUGGUGUAGCGGUGAAAUGCUUAGAUAUCACGAAGAACUCCGAUUGCGAAGGCAGUUCACUGGACUGCAACUGACACUGAGGCUCGAAAGUGUGGGUAUCAAACAGGAUUAGAUACCCCAGUAGUC
rnacentral:rRNA from 1 species